AUUGAACGCUGGCGGAAUGCUUUACACAUGCAAGUCGAACGGCAGCACGGACUUCGGUCUGGUGGCGAGUGGCGAACGGGUGAGUAAUGUAUCGGAACGUGCCCAGUCGUGGGGGAUAACGUAGUGAAAAUUACGCUAAUACCGCAUACGAUCUAUGGAUGAAAGCGGGGGAUCGCAAGACCUCGCGCGAUUGGAGCGGCAGAUAUCAGAUUAGGUAGUUGGUGGGGUAAAGGCCCACCAAGACAACGAUCUGUAGCUGGUCUGAGAGGACGACCAGCCACACUGGAACUGUGACACGGUCCAGAUUCCUACAGUGUGCAGCACUGGGUAAUUUUGGACAAUGGUCUAAAGCCUGAUCCAGCCAUUCCGCGUGCAGAAUAAAGGCCCUCGUGUUGUAAACUGCUUUUGUACAGAACGAAAAGGUUUCUACUAAUACUAGGAGCUCAUGACGGUACUGUAAGAAUAAGCACCGGCUAACUACGUGCCAGCAGCCGCAGUAA
rnacentral:rRNA from 1 species